rnacentral:rRNA from 1 species
AUGGAGGCGAGCGUGACGCAGGCGAAGGCGUACAUGUUCCGCCGUGGCUUCUCGAGCACGGCGAGCAGCUUCGUGGUGGUGGCUUCGGCGGCUGCAUCGUGCGUCAUGGCGCCGCCCUGUUUCCUCGCCGGCCCCAGGUUCUGCUUCAGCCACACCUUUUUCCUUAAAGAGAUCUACAACUUGGUGCACUUGCAGAAGACGACGAGCAAGCUAGCCGGUGAUUGUCACCCAAUUAACGCGAGGCAGACAGACCUGCUUAGAUCUUGGUUCUCGACAGAAAUAAAUCAACCUUUGGAUGCCCCGUUGUCCUUUGUUACUUGCUAUAUAUAUAUAUAA